CUAGGAAUAUACAUCUUAAGAUUCAAGUUAUUGUUAUAUCCUGAUAAAGAUAUCACAGCUGAAAUCCAAAAAUUCAUUUAACAGAAUAACAAAGUUGGAAGGGAUCUUGGAGGUCUUCUAGUCCAACCCCCUGCUCAAGCAAGAAACCUUACACCAUUCCAGACAAAUGGUUGUCCAAUCUCUUCUUAAAAAUCGCCAGUGAUGGAGCACCCGUGACUUCUGGAGGAAAGUUAAUUGUUCUCACUGUCACAAAACUUUUCCUUAAUUCUAGGUUGGAUCUCUCCUUGAUAUUUUCCCUCCUUGUUCUGCCUUCAGGAGUUUAGAGAAUAGGUUGACCCCUCUUUGUGGUGCACCCUUAAGUAUUGGAAGACUGCUAUCAUGUCACCCCUAGUCUUUUGCUUCAUUAGACUAGACAUUCCCAAUUCCUGAAACCGUUGUUCAUAUCUGAACUACAGCCUACAGCCCCCUAAUCAUCUUUGUUGCUCUUCUCUGUAUUUUUUCUAGAGUCCCAACCCUAUUUAGAUUAUUAUUUAGGAAUUUAAGUUCAAAUGAGUUCAUAGAAGAGGCCAAAGUCAAACUGGGCAUUUCCUGAUUUAUAGCAAACAUAGUUGUGAACCCAUGGAUCAAAUUUGUUCUUAUUCCUUACAUUGAAACAAAUCAGUCAUGUUUUUUGGUUUUCCCAAACAAAUCUACAACGUUGUUAAAAAUGAUUCGCUUAAAACUGUGCAGUUGCUUGUCAAAACAGCAAGGAACCAGAUGUCAAAAUCUGAUACAACCUUUCCUGUUCUACUUACUUGAUACACAAUCCUAUAAUAGAAUUACUUUUAGCUAUCUCUAAUUAUAUAUUUGUUUAUGAGUUGAACUACCUCAAACAAUGCAAGAUAAAUGUACACACACACACACACACACACAGAAACAGAAUGUGGUUUGCAUCAUUUUACAAUCCAGAGUAAUUAUAACAGUUGAAUAAACAGCAUUUUUCAUAAUCAAGACUGACACUGUUAAACAUACUAGUCUUUUGUGUUUCAAAUGGUGCCACAAGGAAUUAAUUUAAAUAAUAAAUUAAGAGCUAAAGCAAACUAUGAAAGAUGCUGUAUGUUAAGUCUUAUAAUCAGGAGGCAAGAUCAAUUGCACUGUGGGCCGAUCAUUUUUUAAUCUUACGUAUUCAAAAAGUAUAAUAGAGCAUUUUGUUUAAUUUUUGCUCAGAAGGAUGUCAUAGUUAUCAGAAAGAUUGCUAGUCUAAAUAUUGGGCAAACCUCAGGAAUUAAUGCUAAGAGAAAUGGUGACAAUCUCCCUGCUAUUUUUUUGAAUUUCUUGAUUAUUCCACUGUACAUGUAUCAUCUGUUUCAACUAAAUUCACUGUUGGCUUCAACUACAAUAGAGAACCUUACCUCAUUUCUAGUUAAUAGAUACGUUUGAAUUGCAAGUCUAAUUGACUUUCAGGCAUGGAUUGGAGAAAGUUGCUCCCCCCCACCCAGUAUUUAAUGCUAAGGAAUCUCUUUUCAUUGGCAUAUUCUCUCUCUCCCCAGAAAAAUCACAAUAGUCAUGCUAUCAAAAUAUGCUUCAUUUUAGUGGCAAGAUGUUAGGAAACUGUAGGAGCCUAAAAUGUAAAACUGGAACUAUUGAGCCACAGUUUACUGUCCCUAAAUUAGUCCUUGAUUAGCCUGUAUUGAAUGUUUGAGAAAAGAGUCUCCAAAAUUGCCAAAAACAUUUGCCUUCUUCAAUCACAAGGGAAUUGGCCCAAUAUUCUUAUAAGAGGCUAUCUAUCUAUAUCGUUAUUAGUGACGUGCAGGGGACAAACAAUCCCUUUGGGAAAUGGGAGACAAUUUGGCAGGCAUAAUUUUCAUUAUUAAAAAUUGCUGAGUGGCUACAGAAACCAGCAUGAAAACCUGUGGAUGGCUAUGAGUUGGAAUAAUACCCUGGAGGCCUCAGUCUGUUAAGCCAAAAGAAAUCAGAUAUUAAUGAAGGAAAUGCAUUUUUCAUUGUCAAAAUGGGUGAUGCUUAUAACAUGUCAAAUCAAAUAUAAAAUCAAAAUAAAGCAGUUCUGAAAACAAUUAGAGAAGGUAAUAUAACUCACUGAGUCUCUGGCUAAGAGAUAUAUACAGGCUCAUAGAGUAAUUUAUUUUCUCCCAUGAUUUUCCCAGUAGGAGAGCUGAGAGUUCAGUUGAAACACUGCCCAGCAAUUAAACUGAACAUUUCAGCUAUAAAUCUGGAUUGAAUAUCCCAUUCCUAUUAAGUGAGAUUUAGUUGAAGUAGCAGAGAAAAACCACUAAGUUUUAGCCUGCAGAAUAUUAAUUUCACAUCAGCAAUAUAAUUAACUGCAGGAAUAAUGAGCAACGACUGUUGAUUUGAUUCAGACUGAGAUUUGCAAUUGCAAAAUGCUAUUGGACAGUAUCAUUUAAAAAAUAAUAAGCUACUUAUAGGAGUUAUAAAUAUUAAUUCACUUGAAGCCCAACACUUCCCUUGAGAAUCUCCUCCUUCUGAAUUCCUAAACUCCCUGAUUUGGUGGUUUUGGUUCCUUACCAGGUUGUGAUGGCAGUGGGGUGAAAGCAAGACCUUUCUCUCAUAUUCUGAAAUGGGAGAAUGUCAUGUGGGCAGCUAAACCACCUACCUUUCCAUCCUUACCGAGGGGAUAUGAAAUUUGAUUAAUUGAAUAGUAUAGUUUUAUUUUAUCACUAGCAUUUCUAGGACAAGCUCAUGGGGUUGAUUUAAGAGUGCCAAAAACUGGCAGGAAAGCUUAGGCACCUCAGAUGGGUAUUUGGCCCUAUCACUUUAAGCAUGUAUCCUCCUCCGAUCAAUCAUAUUUUCAACACAAUUAUUUCUUCUCUCCCCCUCUUUCUCUACCCUUCCCCUUCUACAGGUAGAAUUCCAUGUCUCCUCUUUACCUUUUAUCUCUGCUUUCAGUUACUCAGCAUUUUCUUCUGUUAAGACCUCCUCCUCCUCCUCCUCCUCCUCCUCUUCCUCCUCCUCCUCCUCCUCCUCCUGCUGCUGCUGCUGCUGCUGUGGUUUUUCCUCCCAUUGCUCCCUUGUCUGCCAUCCCCUCAGACUCCUCUCUUUCUUUUGCAUGAAAUUCCAAUAUAAUCCAGCUGUAGGGAGCCUGCAUUCUUUCCUCCUAUUCUUUGUUUAGCUGUAUGCCUUUAGGUAGGUUUGCAUAUAUUUUAUGACCAGAAAAAGGCACCCAUUCCCCCCUGGAUCCCUUUAUUAGCAUGUUCACACAAGCACAUUUUUGGUAUACUUUGAAAUGUUGCUAUGGCUAUGUACCAAGGGCUAGUGUAAAAUGUCGUAUUUUUGAGUGGGCCUGUCUUCUUUAUUUUUCCCAGCAAGGCAUUUGGCCAACCUUCACCACAUAUCCCAGCAGCAGGUACAAUGGAGGAAAGAGACAUGUCUGAGAAAAUUAAUUUUCCAGAUUUUUAGAACCAGGGUUGGCCCUCCUCUGGAUUGUGCGUGAAAUAUGAUGACAGAUUGGAAAGAGGUUUUCCUGGUUAACAGUGACUGACUGAAACUGCUUAUUAGUAGAAAGCACCCACCCUCAUAUACUCUGCUUUCAGUAAUGUGGCUUCCAAGGAGCAAUGGCGAACUGAAGAUGGAUGCACAAGACCUGAUGACUACCUUACAAAGAACUUUUGUAUGCUGAAGGAGAUCAUCUUCAAUGGAUCCAGGUGUCAGAUACAAAUAUUUUCCCAGUUUCAACCAACAAGACUACUGAGGAAACUGAAGUACUCUCAUACAUCAUCUUCUGCAAUAACACAAACUCAAUUUAUGGACUACAAAUAAAAGAACCAUUUUCCAACAGUGACCACAGUAUGAUAGACUUUUGCCUCAAUAUACGCCCUUACAAAAAUCAUUAUAAUAAUAGUAAUCAAAUCUACAAUUUCAAAAAAGCCAACUAUAACUUUAUAAACACCUACCUCUCAUUUCUUGAUUGGCAAAAUCUAUUCUCAACCUGUAUCACUGCUGAAGACCACUACAAAGUUUUCCUACUCAAAGUCAAUAGAGUAAUUAAACUCUAAAUACCACUAACCACCACCAAAAUCAGAAAAAACAAAUUACCCAUAUCAAUAAAAAAGAUCCAAUCCCCCCCAAAAAAAAUCCCUUUGGAGAAAAAACAAAAAGGGGCAUGUGGCAAAUUUCAAAAACUGCUACAGAGAUAUAUGCAACCAAAUAAAAAUUGAAUGCACAAAUUACCACACCAAGCAAGAAGAAGCCCUUCUGUGCUCAAAUUCCAAUCGUGCUUUUUAUAAUUUUGUGAAUAACAAACUUAAUGUAUCUAGAUCCAUCCCACCACUAAAAAAAUCUAACGGCAAAGAAAAUAACGACAAAACAGUUAAAGCAAACCUCUUUAACACAUUCUUCGGCUCAGUCUUUGUCAACAGCAAUGGCUCAAACCCGAAAUUUCCCAACCACACCAACAACGACCUAACUCAUAUAGAUUUCACUGAAGAAAAUGUUGAAAAAGCUCUUCACAAUUUAAAACCAUCCUUAUCUAUAGGACCUGAUGGACUAUGUGCAUACUUCUUAAAAAAGCUUUCCACUUAUAUAGCAGAACCACUAAGCAUAAUCUUUGAAAAAUCCUUCACGACCAGUUCCCUUCCCAAACUUUGGUCACUAGCCACGGUCAUCCCUGUCUUCAAAAAAGGAGACCCCAGCCUAGUUGAAAAUUACAGACCUAUCUCUCUAUGCUGCAUUACCUGUAAAGUUAUAGAAUUAUCAACCAAUACAUUACCCUCCACCUAGAAACAAACAACCUACUCUCUAAUAAACAAUUUGGUGUCAGAAAAAAAUUAUCAUGUAACUUAAAACUUCUUCACUGCAAAAAUAUAUGGACUACUAAUCUUGAUCAAGGCAAAACAAUAGAUGCAAUUUACAUAGACUUCUGUUUUGACUCAGUGGUACACGACAAACUUCUCCUCAAACUAAAAUCCUACAGCAUCUACGGAUCCCUCCAGAAUUGGAUAACAGCGUUUCUGUCAAACAGACAACAAGUGGUCAAAAUUGGUAGUGCCCUAUCAAAUCCUGUUCCUGUCAAUAGUGGUGUUCCCUGCGGCAGUGUUCUUGGACCAACACUCUUCAUAUUAUACAUUAAUGAUCUCUGUGACCAUAUUAAAAGUAAUUGUGUUCUCUUUGCUGAUGAUGUCAAACUAUUUAACACUACUAACAAUACAGCUACCCUUCAAAAAGACCUUGACUUUGUGUCAGAAUGGUCUAAAACCUGGCAACUCCAAAUCUCAACCAGCAAAUGCUCUGUCUUACACAUUGGAAAAAAAGAAUCCAAACACUAAAUACAAACUCGACGGACAUUAUCUUACAGAUGACCCCCUGUCAAAGACCUUGGAGUCUUCAUAUCCAAUGACCUAAGUGCCAAAUCCCAUUGCAACUACAUCACAAAAAAGGCAUUAAGAGUUGUAAACCUAAUCUUACGUAGCUUCUUAUCCAGAAACACUAUACUACUAACCAGAGCUUACAAAACAUUUGCUAGACCAAUUCUUGAAUACAGCUCACCUGUCUGGAACCCAUACCCCAUUUCAGACAUCAAUACAAUUGAAAGUGUCCGGAAAUAUUUUACAAGAAGAGUUCUCCAUUCCUCUGAAUACAACAAAAUACCUUAUGCCACCAGACUUGAAAUCCUGGAUUUAGAAAACUUAGAACUCUGCCGCCUCCGACAGGACCUGUGUUUAACUCAUAGAAUCAUCUAUUGCAAUGGCCUUCCUGUUGAAGACUACUUCAGCUUCAAUCACAACAAUACAAGAGCAAACAAUAGAUUUAAACUUAAUGUUAACUGCUCCAAUCUUGAUUGCAGAAAAUAUGACUUCCGUAACAGAGUUGUUAAUGCUUGGGAUACGCUACCUGACUCUGUGGUCUCUUCUCAAAGUCCCCAAAGCUUCAACCAAAAACUGUCUACUAUUGACCUCACCCCUUUCCUAAGAGGUCUAUAAGGGGCCUGCAUAAGAGCACAAACAUG